UACGUAGGGACCAAGCGUUGUUCGGAUUUACUGGGCGUAAAGGGCGCGUAGGCGGCGCGGUAAGUCACUUGUGAAAUCUCUGAGCUUAACUCAGAACGGCCAAGUGAUACUGCAGUGCUAGAGUGUGGAAGGGGCAAUCGGAAUUCUUGGUGUAGCGGUGAAAUGCGUAGAUAUCAGGAGGAAUACCGAUGGCGAAGGCAGGUCUCUGGGCUAUAACUGACGCUCAUGCACGAAAGCGUGGGGAGCAAACAGG
rnacentral:rRNA from 1 species